rnacentral:rRNA from 1 species
AUUGAACGCUGGCGGCAUGCCUUACACAUGCAAGUCGAACGGCAGCACGGGAGCAAUCCUGGUGGCGAGUGGCGAACGGGUGAGUAAUAUAUCGGAACGUGCCCAGUCGUGGGGAUAACGUAGCGAAAGCUACGCUAAUACCGCAUACGAUCUAUGGAUGAAAGCGGGGGAUCGCAAGACCUCGCGCGAUUGGAGCGGCCGAUAUCAGAUUAGGUAGUUGGUGAGGUAAAGGCUCGCCAAGCCGACGAUCUGUAGCUGGUCUGAGAGGACGACCAGCCACACUGGGACUGAGACACGGCCCAGACUCCUACGGGA